rnacentral:rRNA from 1 species
UACGGAGGGUGCAAGCGUUAAUCGGAAUUACUGGGCGUAAAGCGUGCGUAGGCGGUUCGUUAAGUCUGUUGUGAAAGCCCCGGGCUCAACCCUGGAAUGCCAGUGGAAACUGUCGAGCUAGAGUCCGGAAGAGGCGAGUGGAAUUCCUGGUGUAGCGGUGAAAUGCGCAGAUAUCAGGAGGAACACCGAUGGCGAAGGCAGCUCGCUGGGACGGUACUGACGCUGAGACGCGAAAGCGUGGGGAGCAAACAGG